rnacentral:rRNA from 1 species
UAAAAUGAGUGUGUGAGUGUGUUCGGUUCGUGUGGGAUCUCUCCGGUUUCUGAGGGUUUGGUCUGGUCUCACUCUUUGGUUUCGCUUUCGCCUCUUCCUUGUUUCUCUAACUGCUCCUGCGCGUCGCCGUCGGUUUAGGUUCUGGCGUAACGAGCGAGCGGGCGGCGGCACGCCGACGCUGCGAGGAGGCCCCUGGGGCGCGGUAAGAGGACGGCCGGUAGAGACCACGACGCGGCACCAGGGCUCCAGGGGUGGCUGCGACCCUGGUCGCGGGCGCCGACCACCGCUCGGGGUGACUACCGGCGAACGGCGCGCGGCCGCCGGUUGCCUCGUUCACAACCGCAAGGACAACGCCGUCUCGUCUCCCUGCCGCCCCAGGCGCGCUCCGUCCGGCCCGCGCGGCCGAGAGCGACGCGGAUCCCUCCGUCGUCGCAGGAACGAGCAGAAAAGCAGCGGGAGAGAGGGGGGCAGCUUCUUCGAUCCCAAACGAGCAAUCCCAAGGCAACCCGACACCCCGACGCCCCUACCGCCACCCCCUCCGCGACGCCGCCGAGACGCUCCUCCAGCCCACCAGAAUGCGGCAGAAGACCUUCCGGUAGCCGCGACGACUGGGGCACGUAGAUCACACCCUCCUACCGAUGACACCGGUGCGUAGAACAGGUUGACCUAGACUCCGAAGACUCCAACCGACACUUAGUCCACCGUGACACACGCGGGAUCAAUCCUUCCAAUACCGUAGCGUCCAAGUAUAACAACCUCUUCCAUGGUAGCCGGCACGACGAAAAUGACCCUCAGUAGUCACCUAAUAGGUACUAUGAUGGUUACUAGUGUCCGAGUCUAGGCUCCAACGACGCCUCUACUUAGUAGUCAAGUCUCGACCGUAAGUCUGAUAACGUUAUUAAGGACACAAUGGUGCACCACAUGAUGUCGAUCCGAGAUGAUCACACCAAUACCUUUUAUGUUGAAUACACGAAGUCAUAUUCUUCGACACAAGAGUCAAUUUGUUAGCUAGUUCAUACCAACGUAGAUGAAGUCGAUUUUUACUAAGAUCGGUCUUCCAGGUUAGUGCGAGAAGUGUACCAGAAGACUCACAGAUGGGAUGUCUACCAACGAGUUUUCGGAAGUCACCAAGAGGUCGCUGAAUACUUGUCACGAUAUAAGGACUACGCUGUCGUCAGAGUUCAUCACGUAGUCAUUUGUAUCCUUCUUUUCGAAGGAACGAAUUCCACCGUGUCUCUUUACCACUUCGAUAGUCUCUGGUGUCAAAUAUACGAGGACUACACUCCAAGUCUGCUGUUUGAGGAAUGACACUGUCCUCUCAACUUUCGUGGUGUGUUUCGUCACACCAAUUGAGUCUAAAAGAGAGAAGAUGGAGUUGUAGUCGUCUUUUCGUAGGUGACAACUACUUACUACCUGUUAACCCUUACCCUUUGUACCUUCUCCGCAGACUAUGGUCUUUAGAAGACGAUUUUAGAGAACGUAAGGCCUUGGACGGAGGUAGCGUACCUCCCCCACUCCACAAUCUAAAAGAUUUGUCAGUACCUUUGAAACUAAAAGAAGGACUUCCAUUAUCGUAUCAGUUCAGAUUGAACAUACUGACGAGUCGUUCAGUUGAUAAUCUGGUUUCUACAUUGAGAUGAAGACCCUACUAUCCCGUGUUUGGCCGAUAAAGUAUAUUUUGGGGGGUUAGACGAGUUAAGUAAUACUUUUACCCCUCAGGGUUUUCUCUGAGUACAGUACGACAACGUCGAGGUAGGUGACCGAGACUUCAAGUUUGAAGAUCACUUAAAUUUUGUCUGAAAAGAGUUCUAUUAGUUCACCUAUAAAGCCUAGCACAAACGGUUUUGUCUUUCCGAUUUCUUCAUUUACUGAGGUCAAAACGACAUUCUUAUGUUCCAAACUUCUUAUACCUAGCCGUCUUCGAGGGUCUGUAAAGUUCACUCGCUAGAAGGAGUGAAGCACACCUAGGUUGACGUCCUUUACUAAACAAACUAUAUAAACCACGACUUAAAGGAGUAGACACGGCGUUACACCUACCGCUGAGCUGGACCUUGUGACGUUUUGGUCGAUCGAGUCCUUUUCUACGUGAACUUAGGAGUCAAAUAGAGCUAUGGAGAGGUCAGAAACCACGUGACCUUCUACUCAAGGGGAAAAGACCUUAGAAGAGUGAUUGACUAUCACUGGUUAAUAACCUGCGUCAAUAGAGGUCACAGUUAGGACCACCGUUCGUCUAGAGACCACUGUCACGCAGAACGUCCUGAAGUAACUGUCUGUACGGAUCGUCGAGAAUAACACCGAGUUUUCACUACUUCGUUGUACUUAGUAGACCACGAGGAGGAAACGAUCAGUUCCUACUCAACCGACAUAGUUUAAAACAAUUUGUUGGUUCAAAGGAUCUCUUCUGGCUCCUAACAACAGAAAGGGUUUUGUUACCUUACGUGUUUAGAGUCAAUGCGGAAACCUAGCUCUCACCUGUAUUGUACUUCACACUUUCGCACAGUCGGAGUUUGUCGUUUCCAGUACUAUGUGGUUUGUUCCGUUUAGCUUUCUCUAGAGCUGGUCCUCUCUCAAGAUUCGGGGCCGGUUUUCUGGCAGUCGAAUAAGUCCUAGCAUAUUUCCUCGAGGCCCUUGAACAUGGAUUACCACGUUUCACAUCGUAACUACGAAAUGACCUUUUCUGGUAGUUCGUGUACCAAAAGAACGUCUCACACUGUUUCGUACGACUGUUAGAGUUUCUAAGAUUACUUAGAUUCUAUGAAUCGCCACUGUUACCAGGAGAAACCUUUCUGAUGAAACUCCCACCACGUUGUACCCGGAAGUUGCAGCCGUCGGUUAGAUACUGUACGGGUUAGUAUCAACUCCUAGAGCUGGCCGGAGCAGUCUACGAACACCUCUACUAAACACUACUGUCUCCAUAGAAGGACCUUUAUCGGCUGAAAUAGUUUCCAGAACCUGAUUGGUAGAACUCCCCACACUACCUUCGUGCGUUUUUAUUUUAGACCCGUGCUAAGUGACAACUCCGGUUGUCCCUGCACUGAUCUUACCUCUAAAAGGAGAGUGAACACGCGAACAACCUUGGGUCAACACUACCGUCACCUAGUCCUCUCUUAGUUCUUUUACCUUUUUACGGAGAACCCUAACGCGUCGUGGUCUAAUAGGGUCGCUGUCCGGUGGAAUCUACUCACUAGCUCGUACCCGUGGUAGUUCCGUGGAAAGUUCUCGAUUCUCGUCCCCAAGUCGAGCGAAGACGUUACUGAUCGCAACAGUCGAGUGCUGAUCGACCAAAGAACACUGCAUGGUGCCUAGAAAGAGUGUUGGCCCGCACGUCUUUAGGAUUGUGUCAUCUUGGUACUUCCGUAGCUGUUAACCAAAUUGUUUUACUAGUGAUCCUUCACAAACCUAACAUUUUAGAAACAAGGACAAAACAAUGACUACAAAGAAGAUAAUCGCUCAAAACAAGACAACUAGAUGACUUACUGUUAAGAUCCAACUAGACAGAUCGUACUCAAAAUGAUAACGGUUUAGUGCUCCGAAACAAAAGUU